CUUUAGCUAACUAAAUAGCAGCGCUGCUCUCUCUCGCUGGCAAAUAAAAGUUUAUGUUCAAGAAGUUAAUUUGCCUGUUCAGUUUCUGUGCUAUGAUUAAGAGACCACUGUGCAGAAUUGGAGACUAACGCUGGGGGUUCGUCGACUGGGAUUCAUCACAGAAAACCACCACACUGGUUCCACCUUUCUACUGUGAUCACGACGCUAUGAAUGUCAAAAGACACUUUAAGGAGAAGCAGAAUGACAUCAUUCACAGUAUCAAACAGCUGAAUGACAAAGUUGAUCCGCUGUGUCCUUGGACCGUCCCUGAAAGUGUCGGUUCCCAGACAUACCAGGAGGGAGAACAAUGUGGACGCUGCUGAGAUGAUCAUCUGAAGAAUGGCCUUGCUAAACCAGAAAUGUGGACUAGAACCAAUUACAAGCAGUGUCUCUCAAGAGUGCUAAUGACAAACUUGGACGAGGACAAGGGAACCAGGCACCGAAGGAAUGACCUAAUCAAUACCUUAACUGCAUACACCCCUGGAAUGGAACAAGGGAAGUAUAUGGUAACAAGCAUUGCCAGGGGCGGCUUGUACGCUACGGCUCCUGUUUAUCUUUGACAGUCGGGGCAAGUCAGGAACAGCCAAAGGUAGCCUUGCCAGGGACGUGCCACAAAUUUACAGAGUUGUCAUGGCAGCUGUAAUAAAUAUCACAUCAAUGGACAGUACUACCAUCAUUUCUACAGUUGUGCCAUAAUCCGAAGCUGUCCUAU